rnacentral:piRNA from 1 species
UGAAGCAGUGACACAAAUUGAUCACACC